UUGUCCCUCAGGUGGUGGAGUACAGAGAACGAUGUCGGCGCUUGGAGCUUCAGCUUCAGGAUGAAAACACACAACUGAUCAACACUGAGAGCUGUGUCAGAGGUGAAUGCAGUGACUCCCUCGAGAGCGCCCUCGUCAGGUUGGAGGAGGAACAGCAGAGGUCUGUUGGGUUAGUCGAGACAAACACGUUCUUGUGUGAGAAACUCAAACAUUCAGAUCACACCAACCAGGUCCUGAGGGAGGAGCUCCACAAGCUGAAGUGUGUGGAGGGGGUGGAGCCCAGAGAGUGUGAUUGGCUGAGAGAGAAGCAGCAUCAAACUCCAGCUUCUGUCUGCAGAUCUGAGGAUUCUGUAAAGAGACAACAUUACCCUCACAAGACUGACAGAUUCAGAGCUCCUCCUCUUCUCUCCUCC